rnacentral:rRNA from 1 species
UACGAAGGGGGCUAGCGUUGCUCGGAAUCACUGGGCGUAAAGCGACCGCAGGCGGCCUGACAAGUCGGAUGUGAAAGCCCUGGGCUCAACUCAGGAAUUGCAUUCGAAACUGGUAGGCUCGAGUACGGGAGAGGGGGGUGGAAUUCCUGGUGUAGGGGUGAAAUUCGUUGAUAUCAGGAGGAACACCGGUGGCGAAGGCGGGUCUCUGGGCAGUAACUGACGCUGAGGAGCGAAAGCGUGGGUAGCGAACAGG